rnacentral:rRNA from 1 species
GAUGAACGCUAGCUACAGGCUUAACACAUGCAAGUCGAGGGGUAGCAGGGUAGCAAUACCGCUGACGACCGGCGCACGGGUGAGUAACACGUAUCCAACCUUCCCAUAACUCUGGGAUAGCCUUUCGAAAGAAAGAUUAAUACCGGAUAGUACUUUUUCAAGGCAUCUUGAGAAAGUUAAAGAUUUAUUGGUUAUGGAUGGGGAUGCGUUCCAUUAGAUAGUUGGUGAGGUAACGGCUCACCAAGUCUUCGAUGGAUAGGGGUUCUGAGAGGAAGGUCCCCCACAUUGGUACUGAGACACGGACCAAACUCCUACGGGAGGCAGCAGUGAGGAAUAUUGGUCAAUGGGCGAGAGCCUGAACCAGCCAAGUAGCGUGAAGGAUGAAGGUCCUAUGGAUUGUAAACUUCUUUUAUAGUAGAAUAAAGUGACCUACGUGUAGGUUUUUGUAUGUAUACUAUGAAUAAGGAUCGGCCAACUCCGUGCCAGCCGCCGCAGUAAGAC